AACGCAAGUUGCGUCAAUUUGAAAAAAUUGGCAUAUUUGUAUGAGUUUUAUUAAAACCAAUAAAAAAGUUCGUAAUUGAACUGUUUUAUAUUGAGGUUAUUCACUUUUUAUAAGAAAAUGGAUUGCCUUGAAAUUUUAAUUUUAAUUAUGAACAAUUUUGAAAAUUUUGCUUUGAUUGUGAAAUUUCUAAUAAGAAAAAUCAUUCUCAGUUGUUUUUCAUUCAUUUCAUUUAUUUGAGUGAGUGAAAACAAUUUGAAUUGCAAUGGUUUUUUAUUAUUAAAUUAUAAAAAACAAUCAAUACACAAAAUAAUCAACAAAUUAUAUAUAAACUCAUAUCAAAUAAGAACACCCGCUGAACUUAA
rnacentral:misc_RNA from 1 species